rnacentral:rRNA from 1 species
CGUCAUUGCAGACGCGGAAGGAGACAUUAUAGAGUUUUCUAAACUCCCAACCCAUGUGAACUUACCUUUUGUUGCCUCGGCAGAAGUUAUAGGCCUUCUUAUAGCUGCUGCCGGUGGACCAUUAAACUCUUGUUAUUUUAUGUAAUCUGAGCGUCUUAUUUUAAUAAGUCAAAACUUUCAACAACGGAUCUCUUGGUUCUGGCAUCGAUGAAGAACGCAGCGAAAUGCGAUAAGUAAUGUGAAUUGCAGAAUUCAGUGAAUCAUCGAAUCUUUGAACGCACAUUGCGCCCAUUAGUAUUCUAGUGGGCAUGCCUGUUCGAGCGUCAUUUCAACCCUUAAGCCUAGCUUAGUGUUGGGAAUCUACUUCUCUUCGGAGUUGUAGUUCCUGAAAUACAACGGCGGAUUUGUAGUAUCCUCUGAGCGUAGUAAUCUUUUUCUCGCUUUUGUUAGGUGCUAUAACUCCCAGCCGCUAAACCCCCAAUUUUUUGUGGUUGACCUCGGAUCAGGUAGGAAUACCCGCUGAACUUAAGCAUAUCAAAGGCGGAAAGGAGGAA